UAUACAGCGAAACUGCGAAUGGCUCAUUAUAUAAGUUAUCGUUUAUUUGAUAGUGCCUUACUACUUGGAUAACCGUGGUAAUUCUAGAGCUAAUACAUGCUAAAAACCCCGACUUCGGAAGGGGUGUAUUUAUUAGAUACAAUACCAAUGCCCUUCGGGGCUCUUUGGUGAUUCAUGAUAACUAUACGAAUCGCACGGCCUUGCGCCGGCGAUGGUUCAUUCAAAUUUCUUCCCUAUCAACUUUCGAUGUUUGGGUAUUGGCCAAACAUGGUUGCAACGGGUAACGGAGGGUUAGGGCUCGACCCCGGAGAAGGAGCCUGAGAGACGGCUACUACAUCCAAGGAAGGCAGCAGGCGCGCAAAUUACCCAAUCCCGACUCGGGGAGGUAGUGACAAUAAAUACUGAUACAGGGCCCUUUCGGGCCUUGUAAUUGGAAUGAGUACAAUUUAAAUCCCUUAACGAGGAACAAUUGGAGGGCAAGUCUGGUGCCAGCAGCCGCGGUAAUUCCAGCUCCAAUAGCGUAUAU
rnacentral:rRNA from 1 species